UACGUAGGGUGCGAGCGUUGUCCGGAAUUAUUGGGCGUAAAGGGCUCGUAGGCGGUUUGUCGCGUCGGGAGUGAAAACGCCGUGCUUAACACGGCGCUUGCUUUCGAUACGGGCAGACUAGAGGUAUGCAGGGGAGAACGGAAUUCCUGGUGUAGCGGUGAAAUGCGCAGAUAUCAGGAGGAACACCGGUGGCGAAGGCGGUUCUCUGGGCAUUACCUGACGCUGAGGAGCGAAAGUGUGGGAGCGAACAGG
rnacentral:rRNA from 1 species